AAGAGGAAGGGAAACCGAAAAAGAGGGAGAGAGGGAAGGAGAAACAGAGAGAGAGAGAAAGAGAGGGAGCACUGGAGUACUCAAGUUCAGAGCCUUGAACUUGCUAGUCAGGAGAUCUGUAACUUAAGGCACAUCCCAGUGUCUCCCCUGACUUUUUAAUUUAUUUUUGCUUUAGUUCUUUUUCAGGUAAGUUCUUUUAACUUUUUGCCUGGAACCAGUAUCCUCAGACUAGUAUCCUCCUACCUGCAACCUCCUGCAUAGCUGAGAGUAUAGGUGUGUGUUGAGGUGGGGGUCUUGCUACCUCUUUGCCCAGGCUGGCCUUAAGCCAGGCUCCUCCUGAUCUCUUUCUCCCAAGUAGCUGGGAUUGCUACUAGUAGUAGUAGUAGGCGUGAGCCACUGUGUCUGGUCCCUUCACUCUUCCUUAUGUCUGAAUAAUACUCCAUUGUGUCUAUGUGCCACGUUUUCUUUAUUCAUUCACCAGUUGAUGGGGAACUAGGUUGAUUCCACAGCUUGGGUAUUGUGAAUAGGGAGUGCCACUGUAAACAUGGGGUGUGCUGAGUUUUCAAGGCAGUAUAGCUCUCACUCUCUUUUCCCUCUAGGCUGUGUGUGUGUGGGGGUGGCGGGGCGUGGGGAGAGAGAGAGAGAGAGACACUCAGGUCUGAGAAUCUGGGGUCAUUCUCCAUUCCGCUGUCACCUUGAACCAAUCGUUCCCCUUUAAACCCUGUUUCUAAUCAGUAAAUUACACAUAAAUAAAAAUAUUUAAUUGGACAGCAAAUAGAUCAACAACUGUGUGAAUCUUUUUCCUUGUUCCCACAGUCAACUCCUGUUUGAGGAUUCUGUCUCAGGAAUGUUUAUCCGAAGUGUUGCCUGAAGUUGCUUAUCAUUUCAUCUCAUUCUCCCUGUUUUCCACAACUCAGAGACAACAUGAAGUGUUUCCGGGAGUUGCUUAUCAUUUCCUCUCAGUCUCCCUGUAUCUCACUAGCAGAGAACGUCUUGCUGUGCAGACCAGGUUGGGACACCACCAAGCCCAGUGUGUUAUUGAGACUCUCCUAUGACAAAGUACCUGACAGAAACAAUUUACAGGAGGAAAGAUUUAUUUUGGCUCAUGGCUUCAGAGAUUUUGGCCCAUGGUCACCUGGCCCCAUUGUUGCAUGUCUGAGGUGAGGCUGAAAGUAUGGAGGGUGGGGGGAGAUCAGGGCAGAGCCAAGCUUCGUGCCUCCUGUGGCUAGGAAGCAGAGAGAGAGUACCAGAGGGAAGGGGGCUGGGACAGGAUGCACGC
rnacentral:lncRNA from 1 species